rnacentral:misc_RNA from 1 species
AGGAGAACUUCAAGAAAGAAAGAAAGAAGAAUAAAGAGAACAGCAGAAGAAGAAAUCUGUAAUUUUAGGAAGCCGUGGGUCGUUGGCUUUGAUACCAAUUGUCACUUAGGUUCUCAAGGCACCAGAACACCAAAACUGAAGAAGAAGAAGAAGAAGAAUGAAGGGAACAGAAGCGGAAGGAAGAAACAGUACAGAACAGAAGAAGAUCAAGAAAGAAGGGAUGACGGAGAGAGAGAAAAAGAGGGAGAG